rnacentral:rRNA from 1 species
CGCUGGCGGCGUGCUUAACACAUGCAAGUCGAGCGGAAAGGCUCCUUCGGGGGGUACUCGAGCGGCGAACGGGUGAGUAACACGUGAGUAAUCUGCCCUUGGCUUUGGGAUAAGCCCCGGAAACGGGGUCUAAUACCGGAUACGACGCACUCUCGCAUGGGAUGUGUGUGGAAAGUUUUUUCGGCCAGGGAUGUGCUCGCGGCCUAUCAGCUUGUUGGUGGGGUAAUGGCCUACCAAGGCUUCGACGGGUAGCCGGCCUGAGAGGGUGACCGGCCACACUGGGACUGAGACACGGCCCAGACUCCUACGGGAGGCAGCAGUGGGGAAUAUUGGACAAUGGGCGGAAGCCUGAUCCAGCAACGCCGCGUGAGGGAUGACGGCCUUCGGGUUGUAAACCUCUUUCAGUACCGACGAAGCGCCGAUGAUGGUGGUGACGGUAGGUACAGAAGAAGCACCGGCCAACUACGUG